GAUGAACGCUGGCGGCGCGCCUAACACAUGCAAGUCGAACGGUUAAAGCACCUUUUAGGUGUGUAUAAAGUGGCGAACGGCUGAGUAACACGUGGGCAACCUGCCCUCCUCUUGGGGAUAGCCUCGGGAAACCGAGGAUAAUACCCGAUACUUCAAUGUGGCCGCAUGACGACAUUGAGAAAGCUUUUGCGGAGAAGGAUGGGCCCGCGGCCUGUUAGCUUGUUGGUGGGGUAGAGGCCUACCAAGGCAAUGAUGGGUAGCUGGGUUGAGAGACCGACCAGCCAGAUUGGGACUGAGACACGGCCCAGACGCCUACGGGAGGCAGCAGUGGGGAAUCUUGCACAAUGGGCGAAAGCCGGAUGCAGCGACGCCGCGUGCGGGACGAAGGCCUUCGGGUUGUAAACCGCUUUCAGCAGGGACGAGGCGAUAAGUGACGGUACCUGCAGAAGAAGCCCCGGCUAACUACGUG
rnacentral:rRNA from 1 species